CAUUUCCAAAUGACCUUAAAACAAAGCUCGCAUCAGAUGUCAGUUGUUCUUUUCAAGUUUUGUUUGUAAUGGCGGUGAAAGCUCUUCAGAAUGUGUCUUAGUUUGAUCGACAUUGCAUAGUGUUAUAGCAUUUUAAACAACGAAACAAAGAAAGAAAAGAAGCAAAUUUUUCUGCAGAAAGCUGGCGUUGGCCGAAUCAAUAUGGUAUCAUAUUGUUACUUGAAAGAACAACGUUAUUUUAAAGAAAUGAUGUUGUUGCCGCUACAGCUGCUACUUCUAUUGCUGUUACUACCACUACUGAUACCGCGGUUACUACUGGUACUGAUAUUGCAACUCCUAAGGUUGCUGCUGAUGUUGCUGCUGCUGCUGUUGUUUCUGCUGUCUCUGCUGUUGCUGCUGCUGCUGCAACCUUUUGCCCAGCUGCAUAUGUUGACGUUUAUAUAAACUGUCUCAUGGAAGGCAAGGAAAAAUAAAUA